rnacentral:rRNA from 1 species
CACACUAUCAUUAACUGAAUCCAUAGGUUAAUGAGGCGAACCGGGGGAACUGAAACAUCUAAGUACCCCGAGGAAAAGAAAUCAACCGAGAUUCCCCCAGUAGCGGCGAGCGAACGGGGAGGAGCCCAGAGCCUGAAUCAGUGUGUGUGUUAGUGGAAGCGUCUGGAAAGGCGCGCGAUACAGGGUGACAGCCCCGUACACAAAAAUGCACAUGCUGUGAGCUCGAUGAGUAGGGCGGGACACGUGGUAUCCUGUCUGAAUAUGGGGGGACCAUCCUCCAAGGCUAAAUACUCCUGACUGACCGAUAGUGAACCAGUACCGUGAGGGAAAGGCGAAAAGAACCCCGGCGAGGGGAGUGAAAAAGAACCUGAAACCGUGUACGUACAAGCAGUGGGAGCCUCUUUAUGGGGUGACUGCGUACCUUUUGUAUAAUGGGUCAGCGACUUAUAUUCUGUAGCAAGGUUAACCGAAUAGGGGAGCCGAAGGGAAACCGAGUCUUAACUGGGCGUUAAGUUGCAGGGUAUAGACCCGAAACCCGGUGAUCUAGCCAUGGGCAGGUUGAAGGUUGGGUAACACUAACUGGAGGACCGAACCGACUAAUGUUGAAAAAUUAGCGGAUGACUUGUGGCUGGGGGUGAAAGGCCAAUCAAACCGGGAGAUAGCUGGUUCUCCCCGAAAGCUAUUUAGGUAGCGCCUCGUGAAUUCAUCUCCGGGGGUAGAGCACUGUUUCGGCAAGGGGGUCAUCCCGACUUACCAACCCGAUGCAAACUGCGAAUACCGGAGAAUGUUAUCACGGGAGACACACGGCGGGUGCUAACGUCCGUCGUGAAGAGGGAAACAACCCAGACCGCCAGCUAAGGUCCCAAAGUCAUGGUUAAGUGGGAAACGAUGUGGGAAGGCCCAGACAGCCAGGAUGUUGGCUUAGAAGCAGCCAUCAUUUAAAGAAAGCGUAAUAGCUCACUGGUCGAGUCGGCCUGCGCGGAAGAUGUAACGGGGCUAAACCAUGCACCGAAGCUGCGGCAGCGACGCUUAUGCGUUGUUGGGUAGGGGAGCGUUCUGUAAGCCUGUGAAGGUGUGCUGUGAGGCAUGCUGGAGGUAUCAGAAGUGCGAAUGCUGACAUAAGUAACGAUAAAGCGGGUGAAAAGCCCGCUCGCCGGAAGACCAAGGGUUCCUGUCCAACGUUAAUCGGGGCAGGGUGAGUCGACCCCUAAGGCGAGGCCGAAAGGCGUAGUCGAUGGGAAACAGGUUAAUAUUCCUGUACUUGGUGUUACUGCGAAGGGGGGACGGAGAAGGCUAUGUUGGCCGGGCGACGGUUGUCCCGGUUUAAGCGUGUAGGCUGGUUUUCCAGGCAAAUCCGGAAAAUCAAGGCUGAGGCGUGAUGACGAGGCACUACGGUGCUGAAGCAACAAAUGCCCUGCUUCCAGGAAAAGCCUCUAAGCAUCAGGUAACAUCAAAUCGUACCCCAAACCGACACAGGUGGUCAGGUAGAGAAUACCAAGGCGCUUGAGAGAACUCGGGUGAAGGAACUAGGCAAAAUGGUGCCGUAACUUCGGGAGAAGGCACGCUGAUAUGUAGGUGAAGCGACUUGCUCGUGGAGCUGAAAUCAGUCGAAGAUACCAGCUGGCUGCAACUGUUUAUUAAAAACACAGCACUGUGCAAACACGAAAGUGGACGUAUACGGUGUGACGCCUGCCCGGUGCCGGAAGGUUAAUUGAUGGGGUUAGCGGUAACGCGAAGCUCUUGAUCGAAGCCCCGGUAAACGGCGGCCGUAACUAUAACGGUCCUAAGGUAGCGAAAUUCCUUGUCGGGUAAGUUCCGACCUGCACGAAUGGCGUAAUGAUGGCCAGGCUGUCUCCACCCGAGACUCAGUGAAAUUGAACUCGCUGUGAAGAUGCAGUGUACCCGCGGCAAGACGGAAAGACCCCGUGAACCUUUACUAUAGCUUGACACUGAACAUUGAGCCUUGAUGUGUAGGAUAGGUGGGAGGCUUUGAAGUGUGGACGCCAGUCUGCAUGGAGCCGGCCUUGAAAUACCACCCUUUAAUGUUUGAUGUUCUAACGUUGGCCCCUGAUCGGGGUUGCGGACAGUGUCUGGUGGGUAGUUUGACUGGGGCGGUCUCCUCCUAAAGAGUAACGGAGGAGCACGAAGGUUGGCUAAUCCUGGUCGGACAUCAGGAGGUUAGUGCAAUGGCAUAAGCCAGCUUGACUGCGAGCGUGACGGCGCGAGCAGGUGCGAAAGCAGGUCAUAGUGAUCCGGUGGUUCUGAAUGGAAGGGCCAUCGCUCAACGGAUAAAAGGUACUCCGGGGAUAACAGGCUGAUACCGCCCAAGAGUUCAUAUCGACGGCGGUGUUUGGCACCUCGAUGUCGGCUCAUCACAUCCUGGGGCUGAAGUAGGUCCCAAGGGUAUGGCUGUUCGCCAUUUAAAGUGGUACGCGAGCUGGGUUUAGAACGUCGUGAGACAGUUCGGUCCCUAUCUGCCGUGGGCGCUGGAGAACUGAGGGGGGCUGCUCCUAGUACGAGAGGACCGGAGUGGACGCAUCACUGGUGUUCGGGUUGUCAUGCCAAUGGCACUGCCCGGUAGCUAAAUGCGGAAGAGAUAAGUGCUGAAAGCAUCUAAGCACGAAACUUGCCCCGAGAUGAGUUCUCCCUGAGACUUUAAGUCUCCUGAAGGAACGUUGAAGACGACGACGUUGAUAGGCCGGGUGUGUAAGCGCAGCGAUGCGUUGAGCUAACCGGUACUAAUGAACCGUGAGGCUUAACCUUACAACGCCGAAG